UACGUAGGUCCCGAGCGUUAUCCGGAUUUAUUGGGUUUAAAGGGUGCGUAGGCGGACUGUCAAGUCAGCGGUAAAAUUGAGAGGCUCAACCUCUUCCCGCCGUUGAAACUGGUGGUCUUGAGUGGAUGAGAAGUACGCGGAAUGCGUGGUGUAGCGGUGAAAUGCAUAGAUAUCACGCAGAACUCCGAUUGCGAAGGCAGCGUACCGGCAUCCAACUGACGCUGAGGCACAAAAGCGUGGGGAUCAAACAGG
rnacentral:rRNA from 1 species